AGGGGGAGUAACAUCCGGAAACGGAAUGCUAAAACCGCAUAGGUCUUCGAGCUGCAUGGCUUGAAGAGGAAAAGAGGCGCAAGCUUCUGCUGAUGGAUGGGCCCGCGGUGCAUUAGCUAGUUGGUGAGGUAACGGCUCACCAAGGCCGUGAUGCAUAGCCGACCUGAGAGGGUGAUCGGCCACAUUGGGACUGAGACACGGCCCAA
rnacentral:rRNA from 1 species